AUUGAACGCUGGCGGCAGGCCUAACACAUGCAAGUAGAACGAGUGGCGGACGGGUGAGUAAUGUCUGGGAAACUGCCCGAUGGAGGGGGAUAACUACUGGAAACGGUAGCUAAUACCGCAUAGCAUCGGAUGUACCCAGAUGGGAUUAGCUAGUGGGUGGGGUAAAGGCUCACCUAGGCGACGAGCCCUAGCUGGUCUGAGAGGAUGACCAGCCCACCUGGAACUGAGACACGGUCCAGACUCCUACGGGAGGCAGCAGUGGGGAAUAGUGCACAAUGGGCGCAAGCCUGAUGCAGCCAUGCCGCGUGUAUGAAGAAGGCCUUCGGGUUGUAAGGUACUUUCAGCGGGGAGGCGUUACCCACAGAAGAAGCACCGGCUAACUCCGUGCCAGCAGCCGCGGUAAUUC
rnacentral:rRNA from 1 species